UUCAACUCUGCGCGCAUGCUCUAGUAGCAGUUGGGUCGAUUGAAAACUUGGAGGGGAGGGAUUUAAAAGUUGUCAAACAACUCCAGUGAAAAUAAUAUUCUAUUCAAAUUGAUUGAGAGGUGACAUAUAAAUAUCUACUAUAUCCACAAUAUUGUGAAAGUCCACUAUUUACAAUGCUUGUCAUACAUUUCAAAUUGUGUAGAGUGCCAAAUAGACAAAGACAUAAAAGAGGGGAGUUGACACGGUCUGCUACCCAGAUUAAGGGAAACAGGUACUCCACGACGCAAUGGCAGAUGCAGUCCUAUUUUCAGACAUGAAAUUGAUCGAUUACAGAUUACGAAACCGUUAACCUUAGCAAUACAUUUAAGCCUGGGUCACCGUACAAAAACUCAUUAGUAUGAAGCCUCUAAGCCAAGCAUUCUUAAACUGUCUACAAUAACUUGCAAUUUCACAUAAGACCAUAUUUUGGAAUUGAAUGUGUAAAGAAAGGAGGUAUACUAAUGGUGUAAGACUCGCUAAUCCGUAGUAUAAUUGGAAUUGUUAAGGAAAGGGGAGUGUCUUUGCAAGUUGAAAAUGUGACAUAAAGAACUGCUUUAUCACGACAUCAAACUCCGAAGCUGACGGAGAACACGCGUGUGUAUUUCAUUGUAGAAAUAUAGUGACUGAAGUCACGGGUGAAAAUCAUUAACUCUACCAAAGUACUCUUCACAGUCGGCUUCUUUCAUAUUUUCUUGAUACAUGAUUAAUGGUAUCAUCUUGGACAUAUUCAAUUUAUUUUAAUGAAUGGUCGCUUUUUGUAUCUAGCCAUUUUUUCUGUGUAUACAUAAAAAAGGGACGUGUGUUUAAAAAUUAAACACAAAAGUAACAUAUCUAUGAUAGGCCUUUAGACAUUUGUAAAGCUAUUUUACACGGUAUUUUAAUAUAUCUUUAAAAUUACAAUAUUUUAGACAUCAGCAGAUGUGAAAAAUAGAAGGAAUCCGUAAAAAGAAUUUGGAACAAAUCAAGAUGCUGUCAUAAAUGUAUAAUAUAGGUAGAUCGGUUGGCUAUCUCUGAAUACACCAAAGAUUCCAGCAGAUGCCACAACCGACCUUAUGUAGCACAGUAUCAAAUCUUUUUAUUAAAAGAAUAUGCAGAAAAGCCCAUAAACAUGUCUACUUGAGGAUAUUCGAUGGGUCCCCCAAAAAAUAGAAAAAUGCAAAUUGCAAUAAAUGUCAGACGGACCCUUCGUAAAUAAUACAAUAAUUUCAUUCUUGACAGAUGGCAAAAGGACGGGCAACCAUUGUACAGCAACAUUUUCAACAAAUAAAAUCGUAAUUUAACUACAAAUAAGACAUAAAAUGAAGCUUUUAAUGCCAGAAAUAUAAACUUCUGGUAUACGAUUCCUAUGCAUGAAAUCAGAGUAUUGUAUUAAAAGAUUUUGAUAGCAAAUCUUUCACAAUUCAAAAAGUCUGAAAUAUCAGAUAAUGGUUGGAACCUUAUCUCUUGUUUCUUGGUUUAAGCGGCUUUGUAAAACAUGGAAUUUGAUCCAUCAUUUAGAGAUUCAUGGGUAUAUGGCCUUACUCUUGAGGAAUUCUCGAUGAGGACUUUACCCCCCACUCAUACAGAAAUGUUCUCUGUUUUUAGAUGUGAACUUGUCCCUUUCUGUUGACAGAUAUACUGUUGUGUGCUUCUUUAGCAUCACUAUAAAAGACAGAACCCUUGAAUAAAGAUAUAUAAAUUGCUGUAUGUCAAAUUUGCAAUGAAAUCAUGAUGACAACAAAAUUGACUUGAAACAAAGUGUGAAGAGGUUGACAAACGAUACAAGAAAUUUAAUAAUUCCAGAACUGAUAUGAGUCCUGCGUGAUUGGAGUUUAGACCAUCAUCAUAAAAGGACACGAGAAGGAAAGAUGUCCCUGGUCGAUAUCAAAGCAAAUAAUGUAUGCUGCAAUGCCUUUAUAUAGAUCCAGAUAGUCGAAUCCUGAAGAUGACUAAGGUUUUGCACACGUCAUAGACAAAACCUUACUGCUCGACUCAUUAAUUUUAGAUGAUGUAAAACUUUAGAAAUCAGUCACACGAUACUUUAGAAAUACUGUGUGUGCAUGUUUUUUUAAAGAUAGAAUACAUGUAUCACUGAAGUAAAUUUUCAUACAAAUUGCGUAGCACACUAAAAUUUCAUUCGACAUUUGGUUCAUCUAUGCAAUUUCACAAAUGUGGAUUUUAAGAUAGACGAUUACCAAUGGUUUUGUAAGUUGCCAGACUUUUUGUGUAGAAAAUGCUUAAUUGUAUUACUACAAUAUAAAGAUAUAUGAACGAGUAAAUUAACAUGAAUGAUCUUAAUUACGGUUCGUUUCUGAUACUUAAGUGAAAGGUCAACGAUAUUCAAACCCUCUUAACAAAGAUUUGAUACUCGUAGUUUGCUGAAAAAUAAUAUAGUUAGCCAUGAUAGAUUUUUUUCAAUGCGGCAACUCUGGAAUGUGUACAACAACUGUCCGUCUCUGGUAAUUUGAUGAAUAAAGCUGAUGGUGAAUAUUAUAAAAAUGUUUCAAUAUUCAUCCUGUCGAUCAGAUUUGGAACUUAAAAUAAUUUUAACUAGAUCACGGCCUUUGUCAAGGAAAGUUUACUCUGUUUCGCUUUAAGUUAAAAUACUAGACAUAUAUUUGGUACUUUGAUUUACGAUAGUAGACGACAGUGUAUACCUCAUAAUUUUCAUUGGUAGAAUUGUACUGUGUGGUUGAUGAUCAGACCAAAAAAAAAAAAAAAAGGUAUGAGCAGAAUCUGAGAAAUGCAUGAGCAUUUGAUAUGUUUGUCAGAAACCAUGACAUUCAUUAAUAGUUUUAUAUAUACGACUAACAAUCACGUUUUAGAAGGAAUUACACAUCUAUCUCUCUCUCUCUCUCUCUCUCUCUCUCUCUCUCUCUCUCUCUCUCUCUCUCUCUCUAUGUGCUUUAAAGAAACAAUAUACAUUAUAUGAUUACUAAUAUGGAAAAUGAAAAAAAAGCCAAAAAAACGUGUCGUAUGCAUUAUAUGAUGAUCAGAGAUAAAAAUUAUUGCAGAAAUUGAAUGUACAUAUUAUAAAUGUCAUUUUGUUGAAAUAUGCGUAACGAAUUAUGAAUAAAGUUCAUGGGACAAUUUUCAUACUGUAUGUCAUUUCAUUAAAAAAUAUCAUUGAUAUGGACCUACGAGUUUGUCAUAUGCAUCCAUAUACAUAUGUGCACAUUUCGGAUACUUUUAUAGGGUUUUCCUGGGUUUCGUUUUUUUUAUGUGUCGCUGAAAUUGUGAAUGAAUACCACUUUUUGUUAGUAUGUCCUGUGUAUUGCCAGAUUAGAGAUAAAUUAGUGACAAAGUAUUACCGGAGUAAACCCUCCAUGUUCAAAUUUAUACAGCUAUGAAGUGUGAAUAAUGUUAAAGAACUUUGUAACUUAAAACAAAAAUUAUUUGUAAAGCUCUUGAUCUAUAAUAUGUAAUAUUUAAAACUAUACUGUACCGUCAUUCUCCGUGUAACUAUCAUUAUACUGUUGUACUUACAUCUGUUAGAUAUCUUUGUUAGAGUUUUCAGCUUUGUUGUAAUCAUUAUGUUCUAUUUGUUAUAAUGCUAUAAGAUGUAUGUCUUUCGCAAUGAAGAAUUGGAUAUGCAUACAUGUAUAUUUGUACACAUUUCGGGUACUUUUACGGGUUUUUUCUGGGUUUCCCUUUUUCUAGUAUUUUUUUUUUAUCUGGCUUUAUUCGUGCUUAUUUCAUGUCUACAAUAUCAUAAUCUGUUGUCAGACCUUAGGGAGUUGCAUGCACAUUCAAUUUUAGAUAUAUAUGUGAAUGUUUAUCAGUGUUUCAUACUUUUAGAGAACACAAUUGCUUUCUACUUUUAACUCUCAAAAACGAAAAAUAAGAACAUAUCUUUACAAAUCAUAAUAAUGAACCACAAGGAAUGUGUGUAGAUUAAAGACUGUUAUGAUCUAUUGAAUAUUAUAGUAUAUAUUUAUUGCCUAUUUUAAAUGAUAUUAUUGCCACAGAUAUAUCUCAUUUCAACAAAAUUAAUGGCCUCAUUUUGACUGCUCUUUUUAAAAUUUAUUUGAUCGUAUGAGGUAAGCAGCAUUGAUUUCAAACUAUUACUUUAUGUGUAUCUCUCAUAGAAAAGUGCAUCAAAAACUAUGAAGUUGAUUAUACAAAUU